UGGUAUUCAAACUGUAUAGCUCUGUUUUAUACAAGAAGGCCUAGUAUACAAUUAUUACUGGAAACUAUUAAACUUCCACAAAUCAUGGUCAAUAAUUACUAAGUAGGUGACUAGUUGACUCUCUCUUCCACCACGUAAAAGAGUACAAAAAAUAAACAAUAACAAAAAACAAUGAUGACAACCACCUUCCUCUAUGCAAUUAUAAUGUAAAAUCCAAAUUUAGUGGUGGGUGGCACCCAUUAAAACAGGUUCAACUCCACUAUCUUCUGCCUGCCUCUCCAAGAGAACAUUCUUAAUUCCUUCAGCAUCUUAUCUAUAUACUUUUAAAAAAUCUUAUUUUUUGUAAUAGACUAAUAUUACAACCACAAUUAAUAUAUAUCAACUUGGUGUGCAUCAUUAUCUGUACAUAAUAGAGAGGUGGUGGAUUCUAGAAAAACAACUUAGUGUCCGUGGCAGUUUUGAGGAAUUCUUUGAUGGAUCAAAAAUUUUCUUUAUGGAAAUCAAACUUGGUGGAUGUCUUGUGUGAAAAAUCCAAUGCGUGUUGUUUUAGCUCUUUCGUUAGUGCCGGUGCCCCACAGUAGAACACUCCAACUUUAGCCUCUGGGUGGUUGAGAGCAAUGCGUUUGUAGACGUUUCUCCAAUUAGGCUUAGCAAAGUGUGACUUAACUCUCGUGCCAGAAACAAUGUCUACACCAUUUUUGGCAUGAUGAAGUGACUGAAGCAUAGUAAUAAGAGCAGAACGAGCAUCACCUUCUUCAUAAACACUUGUACAAUAAUUGUGCAUUUCAAUUACUCCCUUAUGAUCCAUUUCAGCAGCUUCAUUCAUUAUACCUUUGAACCAGUCAAAUGAACCUUGUUCUCUUGUGACCCAAUAGAAAUAUGCCCUCCUUGUAUUGAAGCUAUUUCUUCCACUUGCUGAACCUGAUUUACCCCUCUUCUGUGCCAUAUUUGGGCUAGCAUUUUGUGCUGCAUUGGACAUCCCGUGCCCAUUUUCCAAGGAAUUUUCUUCUUCGUCCAUGGCCUUCAUGUUGUUGACAAUGUCUUUAACGAUACUGAUCAUUGGUGUAGCUCCAAUUCCAAGACCCACCAAUAAAACCACCUCAUACUGCUUGUAGUCUUGUGCUGGUGCUCCGUAUGGUCCAUCAAUUAACACUCUUGGGAAAUUAGGAUUAUUCUCUCCUUGCAAGUAGUCAGCUCUAAGGAGUCCACUUUUCCCAUUAGGUGGUGGCUGGCAAACCUCGGAGAAAACAGUUUUAAGUUGUCUGGUCCAAUCACCAAGAGUUCUAAUAUGGACACUGAGAUAGUCAUCUCCUGGGGCCGAAGUAAUGGAAAAUGGAUGCCAUUCAAAUGGUGAAACCGCAGCACAGUUGACAAACAUGUAUUGCCCACUUUUGUAUUUGUAGCCUUGUGGUUUUGACAUGUGAAGGGCCAACACAUUUCCUGGAUACACAGCCACCUUCAAAAUCUUAACGGCUUUGAUGCUUGACCUGAAUGCUCUAAGCAACCUUUCACCAGCAUAGAGUGCUAGUGGGACAGUAAGGUACAUCCAUGUCGUUCUCUUGUACCAAGUUUUGGUUAUGUAUAGUUUUUCUCCAUGGACAAUAAGUAGAGUGUAGACAAUGAUAAACAGAUGGUGUGAGUACCAAAAGGCAUUGAAUCCAGUGAGCUUGUGAAAUGGUUUAGGGAAACUGACUCUGCCCCUUCUAAACCAUGGGGUUGCUAGGGUAAAAGCUAUUGCCAUUAGGAUCACCAUUAUAAUUCCAGUUACCCCUUCAACUCCCUUAACAAACCACCAAUAGCUUUCGGGCUGUUCUCCAAAAUAGUAUAUCAUUGGUUCAUAUGCUUCUUCACUAGCAUUCAGAAGCCGAGGAAAAUCACACGUUAAAUGAGCUAGUCCGUGUAUUGCAACCCCAAGUGCAACCGCGACUGCUAUCACUUUGUGAAAAUUGAGAUUAUCAUCGAAAGGAACUGCAGAACCUAAUCUGGUCUUGUUACGAAGCCAGGUAAUUGUGUUUCUGCAAACUGGGAGUAAAAUGAUAGCCAUGUUGAGCUUGAUUGUCUCAGCAGCACCCUUAGCAAGACACACACAGGGACCCAUAACACCAUAUGCAGCUUUUUGUUUAUACUGAAUAUACUUCCAAGUAAAUAGACCAGCCAUGAUUCCAAUCCACAACAACAAUACCCAAACUCUUUGCCAAUUAUCCAGCAAAAAGUACUUAAAACUCUUAUACCAUCUCACUAAUGGAUUUGGCUCUUGUGUGUGCUUAAGUUUCUGACUUAGCAUCUGACUCAAGUUCCGGCUUUCGCCUCCUCUCUGCACCGUUUGAUUUGGUGCUUGCAGUAAAAGCAUUUCCAAGUUCUCAAUCAUAAUGUAUCCCAGGUUAUUAGGAUCCAACUCUUCCAUGAUCAUUGCCGCGUAUUCAUCAGAUUGUUUCUGGAUAGUUGACAGCCUGUUGGCAGACGCACUAAGGCCGAUAAUCUCUCUGACUUCUUCUUCUGUGAUUCUACCAUCUGCAUCUUUAUCAACCAUGUCAAAG
rnacentral:misc_RNA from 1 species